rfam:Myotis brandtii contig206770, whole genome shotgun sequence.
GGCGGUUCUCGGGUGAUGCACACCGGAAUUCGGCUUCCUCCUCUCUGGUUCCGGGUGCAGCACGUGAGAACCACA